CGCACCUGAGAGGAGGAAAACAGGCAAAAAUAUCAACACUUGGGAUUUACAGAAAAGGGAUAAAAUACAUGACCUGUGGAAAGCAAACUACAAAUUAUGUCCUUGGGGGUUUUUCCCAGGAAUGCUUGCAUUUGCCCUGAGGGACAUAGGUACAUAUGGCUGCUCAUUCAUACUGUUGGCUUUACAUGAAGUGUUUCAGAGUUAAAAAUAUGGCUCUUCUGCACCCUGACAAUGUUAUGAUCUCUCUCUGACAAUCUCAAAUAAACUAAUCACUAUAAACUGUAAUCCAUGGAAGAAAAGACAUAGUUAAGAUGUGAUUUCAACCUAAAGCAUACAUAAUUUGAACAGGUAGUAGGAUGCUUUCCAGCAGCAAGAUUUUUAAAUGCAAACACAUAGACUAGUUACUAAAUCCUAAGUAGACCUGCAUUUAGUUCACCCAAGACUAACCCAGACUGAAUAAAAAUUGUAUAUUCUAAGUACCGAAAGCAAGAGGAAACAGACAAAAGUACAAUUUUGCAGCAGUUCCUUUGUUCGUGGUUUCUCUUGUAAUGAUCAAAUAAAAAUCUUCAAUAAGAA